rnacentral:rRNA from 1 species
UACGUAGGGUGCAAGCGUUGUUCGGAAUUAUUGGGCGUAAAGCGCGUGUAGGUGGUUAACUAAGUCGAUUGUAAAAGCCCUAGGCUCAACCAAGGAAGUGCAUUCGAAACUAGUUAACUAGAGGAUGGCAGAGGAAGGUGGAAUUCCAAGUGUAGAGGUGAGAUUCGUAGAUAUUUGGAGGAAUACCGGCGGCGAAGGCGGCCUUCUGGACCAUUCCUGACACUGAGACGCGAAAGCGUGGGGAGCAAACAGG